GCAGUCGAGCGGACCGAAUGGGAGCUUGCUCCUUUAGGUUAGCGGCGGACGGGUGAGUAACACGUGGGCAACCUGCCCUGCAGACUGGGAUAACUUCGGGAAACCGGAGCUAAUACCGGAUAACACCGAAAACCGCAUGGUUUUCGGUUGAAAGGCGGCUUUUAGCUGUCACUGCAGGAUGGGCCCGCGGCGCAUUAGCUAGUUGGUGAGGUAACGGCUCACCAAGGCGACGAUGCGUAGCCGACCUGAGAGGGUGACCGGCCACACUGGGACUGAGACACGGCCCAGACUCCUACGGGAGGCAGCAGUAGGGAAUCUUCCGCAAUGGACGAAAGUCUGACGGAGCAACGCCGCGUGAGUGAAGAAGGUUUUCGGAUCGUAAAACUCUGUUGUGAGGGAAGAACAAGUAUCAACUAACUAUUGGUACCUUGACGGUACCUCACCAGAAAGCCACGGCUAACUACGUGCCAGCAGCCGCGGUAA
rnacentral:rRNA from 1 species